CGUAGGUGGCAAGCGUUGUCCGGAUUUAUUGGGUUUAAAGGGUGCGUAGGCGGCUUUAUAAGUCAGUGCUGAAAUAUCCCGGCUUAACCGGGAGGGUGGCAUUGAUACUGCAGAGCUUGAGUGAAGUCGAGGUAGGCGGAAUUGACGGUGUAGCGGUGAAAUGCUUAGAUAUCGUCAAGAACACCAAUAGUGAAGACAGCUUACUAGACUUCAACUGACGCUGAGGCACGAAAGUGUGGGGAUCAAACAGGAUUAGAUACCCUGGUAGUCCACACUGUAAACGUUGAUUACUCGAUGUGUGCGAUAUACAGUACGCGUCUUAGCGAAAGCGAUAAGUAAUCCACCUGGGGAGUACGCCGGCAACGGUG
rnacentral:rRNA from 1 species